UACAGAGGGCCCAAGCGUUGUUCGGAAUUACUGGGCGUAAAGGGCGCGUAGGCGGCCUGUUAAGUCGGACGUGAAAUCCCCGGGCUCAACCCGGGAACUGCGUCCGAUACUGGCAGGCUUGAAUCCGGGAGAGGGAUGCGGAAUUCCAGGUGUAGCGGUGAAAUGCGUAGAUAUCUGGAGGAACACCGGUGGCGAAGGCGGCAUCCUGGACCGGUAUUGACGCUGAGGCGCGAAAGCCAGGGGAGCAAACGGG
rnacentral:rRNA from 1 species